rnacentral:tRNA from 1 species
ACUUAUAUAGUAUAAAAAUUACUAUUGACUUCCAAUCAAUUAAUCUAUUAUAAAUAGUAUAAGUA